GGGUCUUGGGAUAUUUGGGGUUAAGCGUCCUUGGGUUUGAAUAGUACUGGGCUGGGUGACCUCCCGGGAAGUCCAAACUCAAGAGCUU
rfam:Selaginella moellendorffii unplaced genomic scaffold SELMOscaffold_0, whole genome shotgun sequence.